rnacentral:rRNA from 2 species
CACACGACUCUCGGCAACGGAUAUCUCGGCUCUUGCAUCGAUGAAGAACGUAGCGAAAUGCGAUACCUGGUGUGAAUUGCAGAAUCCCGCGAACCAUCGAGUCUUUGAACGCAAGUUGCGCCCGAGGCCAUUCGGCCGAGGGCACGCCUGCCUGGGCGUCACA